GACGAACGCUGGCGGCGUGCUUAACACAUGCAAGUCGAACGGAAAGGCCCGGCGUUUGUGGGGUGCUCGAUUGCCGAGCAGGGGAGUAACACGUGAGUAACCUGCCCUUGUCUUUGGGAUAACAUCAGGAAACUGGGGCUAAUACCGGGUAGGAGCUCCUGCUGCAUGUGGUUGUUUGGAAAGAUUCGGCGGUUGUGGAUGGACUCGCGGCUUAUCAGCUGGUUGGUGGAGUAGUGGCUGACCAAGCCUUUGACGGGUAGCCGGCAUGAGAGGGUGACCGGCCACAUUGGGACUAAGAGACGGCCCAGACGCCUACGUGACGCAGUAGUGGGGAAUCUGGCACAAUGGGCGGAAGCCUGAUGCAGCAACGUCGCGUGCGGGAUGACGGCCUUCGGGUUGUAAACCGCUUUCUACUGUGCCGAAGACUGAGUGACGGUAACGGGUAAAGAAGCACCGGCUAACUACGUG
rnacentral:rRNA from 1 species